rnacentral:rRNA from 1 species
AUUGAACGCUGGCGGCAGGCCUAACACAUGCAAGUCGAGCGGAUGAAGGGAGCUUGCUCCUGGAUUCAGCGGCGGACGGGUGAGUAAUGCCUAGGAAUCUGCUUGGUAGUGGGGGAUAACGUCCGGAAACGGGCGCUAAUACCGCAUACGUCCUGAGGGAGAAAGUGGGGGAUCUUCGGACCUCACGCUAUCAGAUGAGCCUAGGUCGGAUUAGCUAGUUGGUGGGGUAAAGGCCUACCAAGGCGACGAUCCGUAACUGGUCUGAGAGGAUGAUCAGUCACACUGGAACUGAGACACGGUCCAGACUCCUACGGGAGGCAGCAGUGGGGAAUAUUGGACAAUGGGCGAAAGCCUGAUCCAGCCAUGCCGCGUGUGUGAAGAGGGUCUUCGGAUUGUAAAGCACUUUAAGUUGGGAGGAAGGGCAGUAAGUUAAUACCUUGCUGUUUUGACGUUACCAAUAGAAUAAGCACCGGCUAACUUCGUG